AUGACUUUGAUCUGCGUCCUCAUCUGGACUCUCCUCUGCUGCUGCUUCACAGAGUCCAGAGGACAGGUCACAGUGACUCAGCAGCCUGCAGCAGUGAGCUCUGCUAUUGGAGGAACCGUCUCCAUCAGAUGUAGGACCAGUCAGAAUGUUAAUGGCAACUAUUUAUCCUGGUACCAACAGAGAGGUGGAGAAGCUCCUAAACUCCUCAUUUACUAUGCUAGCACUCAAGCAUCAGGGAUUCCAGAUCGUUUUACAGGCAGUGGAUCAAACUCUGACUUCACUCUGACCAUCAGUGGAGUCCAGGCUGAAGAUGCAGCAGUUUACUACUGUCAGAGUUAUCAUGAGAUCAACAGUAAAGCUGUGUUUACACAGUGAAAAAUGGUCGUACAAAAACCUCCCUCAGUCAGACUGAACAGAAACUAAACUGACUGCUGCAGCUGGAAGCUCCUGCAGAGACUGAUACACUUCACUGAGGACACACACACACACACACAGUGAACACACACAAUCUCAUCAGUUAUAAUGAAUCAAUCAACUUUGUUGCUUUAUCACCAAUUAACACGAUUCCUGACCCAUGUUUCAAUGUCCGUUCAUAUCUUAUGAAAAUCCCAUGUUGUCUGACUUCAUAAAAGCUCAAGAAGAACCAGAC